GGUUGUAGCUCAGUGGUAGAGUGCUUGCCUAGCAUGCAUGAGGCACUGAGUUAGAUCCCUAUAACCA
rnacentral:tRNA from 1 species